GGUUAAGCGACUAAGCGUACACGGUGGAUGCCCUGGCAGUCAGAGGCGAUGAAGGACGUGCUAAUCUGCGAUAAGCGUCGGUAAGGUGAUAUGAACCGUUAUAACCGGCGAUUUCCGAAUGGGGAAACCCAGUGUGUUUCGACACACUAUCAUUAACUGAAUCCAUAGGUUAAU
rnacentral:rRNA from 1 species